GUCCAGACUCCUACGGGAGGCAGCAGUGGGGAAUAUUGCACAAUGGGGGAAACCCUGAUGCAGCGACGCCGCGUGAGCGAUGAAGUAUUUCGGUAUGUAAAGCUCUAUCAGCAGGGAAGAAGAUGACGGUACCUGACUAAGAAGCCCCGGCUAACUACGUGCCAGCAGCCGCGGUAAUACGUAGGGGGCAAGCGUUAUCCGGAUUUACUGGGUGUAAAGGGAGCGUAGACGGCGAUGCAAGCCAGAUGUGAAAGCCCGGGGCUCAACCCCGGGACUGCAUUUGGAACUGUGUGGCUGGAGUGUCGGAGAGGCAGGCGGAAUUCCUAGUGUAGCGGUGAAAUGCGUAGAUAUUAGGAGGAACACCAGUGGCGAAGGCGGCCUGCUGGACGAUGACUGACGUUGAGGCUCGAAAGCGUGGGGAGCAAACAGGAUUAGAUACCCCAGUACC
rnacentral:rRNA from 1 species